rnacentral:rRNA from 1 species
AGACGUCUACGAGUUUGAUCCUGGCUCAGAACGAACGCUGGCGGCAGGCUUAACACAUGCAAGUCGAACGGUUGUAGCAAUACAGCAGUGGCAGACGGGUGAGUAACACGUGGGAACCUUCCUAGGGGUACGGAACAACUCAGGGAAACUUGAGCUAAUACCGUAUACGUCCGUGAGGAGAAAGAUUUAUCGCCCUUAGACGGGCCCGCGUCGGAUUAGGUAGUUGGUGGGGUAACGGCCUACCAAGCCUACGAUCCGUAGCUGAUCUGAGAGGAUGAUCAGCCACACUGGGACUGAGACACGGCCCAGACUCCUACGGGAGGCAGCAGUGGGGAAUCUUGGACAAUGGGCGCAAGCCUGAUCCAGCCAUGCCGCGUGAGUGAAGAAGGCCUUAGGGUUGUAAAGCUCUUUACCAGGGACGAUAAUGACGGUACCUGGAGAAUAAGCCCCGGCAAACUUCGUG